GCACCAGGCGCGAAAACUUCACAAUGUGCGAAAGCACGAUGAGGGAAUCCCAAGUGCUUGCACGUAAGUGUAAGCUGUUUCUCUGUCUAAAACGCAGAGAGAGUAAGGGCUGGGUAAGACGGGUGCCAGCCGCCGCGGUAAUACCUGCAGCUCGAGUGGUGACCGUUAUUAUUGGGCCUAAAACGUCCGUAGCCGGUUUAAUAAACUGCCUGGGUAAAUCGGACCGCUUAACGGUUCGAAUUCCGGGUAGACUGUUAAACUUGAGACCGGGAGAAGUUAGAGGUACUCCUGGGGUAGAGGUGAAAUUCUGUAAUCC
rnacentral:rRNA from 1 species